rnacentral:rRNA from 1 species
CCAAUAGCGUAUAUUAAAGUUGUUGCAGUUAAAAAGCUCGUAGUUGAAUUUCGGGGUCAGUAGGUUGGUCAUGCCACUGGUAUGUACUGAUCUUACUGAUUCCUCCUUCCUGAUGAACCGUAAUGCCAUUAAUUUGGUGUUGCGGGGAGACUGGACGGUUACUUUGAAAAAAUUAGAGUGUUUAAAGCAGGCUAACGCUUGAUUACAUUAGCAUGGAAUAAUGAAGUAGGACGUUCGAUCCUAUUUUGUUGGUUUCUAGGAUAGACGUAAUGAUUAAUAGGGAUAGUUGGGGGCAUUAGUAUUCAAUUGUCAGAGGUGAAAUUCUUGGAUUUAUUGAAGACUAACUACUGCGAAAGCAUUUGCCAAGGAUGUUUUCAUUAAUCAAGAACGAAAGUUAGGGGAUCGAAGACGAUCAGAUACCGUCGUAGUCUUAACCAUAAACUAUGCCGACUAGGGAUCGGAUGAUGUUAAUUUUUUAAUGACUCAUUCGGCGCCUUACG